GACGGAGGGGGCAAGCGUUGUCCGGACUCACUGGGCGUAAAGUGUGCGCAGGCGGCUGAGCAAGUCGAGUGUGAAAGCCCCGGGCUUAACUUGGGAAUUGCGCUCGAAACUACUUGGCUUGAGUGUGGCAGAGGAAGGUGGAAUUCCACGUGUAGCGGUGGAAAUGACGUAGAGAUGUGGAGGAACACCGAUGGCGAAGGCAGCCCCCUGGGAUAACACCUGGACGCUCAUGCACGAAAGCGUGGGGAGCAAACAGG
rnacentral:rRNA from 1 species